rnacentral:rRNA from 1 species
CAGUAGCCGCGGUAACACGGAGGGUGCAAGCGUUAUCCGGAUUCACUGGGUUUAAAGGGUGCGUAGGCGGAUCUGUAAGUCAGUGGUGAAAUCUCCAGGCUUAACCUGGAAACUGCCGUUGAUACUAUAGGUCUUGAAUUUUGUGGAGGUUAGCGGAAUAUGUCAUGUAGCGGUGAAAUGCAUAGAUAUGCCACAGAACACCGAUUGCGAAGGCAGCUUACCAAGGCAAAAUUGACGCUGAGGCACGAAAGCGUGGGGAUCGAACAGGAUUAGAUACCCCUGUAGUCCCUGUCUCUUAUAC